UACGAAGGGGGCUAGCGUUGCUCGGAAUGACUGGGCGUAAAGGGCGCGUAGGCGGUUUGUACAGUCAGGUGUGAAAUUCCCGGGCUCAACCUGGGGGCUGCACUUGAUACGUAUGAACUGGAGUGGGGAAGAGGGUCGUGGAAUUCCCAGUGUAGAGGUGAAAUUCGUAGAUAUUGGGAAGAACACCGGUGGCGAAGGCGGCGACCUGGUCCUUGACUGACGCUGAGGUGCGAAAGCGUGGGGAGCAAACAGG
rnacentral:rRNA from 1 species